rnacentral:lncRNA from 1 species
GGAUGGUGUCCGGCGCAAAGGCCGGACAAGGUUCGGUCCUAGCUACGGGUUCGUCUACGGUACCGGAACUAUGGAGAACUAGGAUUGACGAACUCCUAGAACUGCUAGAGGAGGAGAUAUCAGAGGAUAUUUUGGAUCAGACGGAAGCCACAAAAAUCUCAGAAAAUUGGAAAAAAUAGCAGACAGGCCCCCGAGAAAGCUAAAUAAAUAGAAUAUGAAGAAGGAAGGAUAAGAAAACAACAGAAAGUUUUGGAACUAACCUAGAUCAGCCCCAGGAGCACAGAGGAAUGGCGAGAACGAUGGAGGUCGACUCGACAAACGCCUAAGGCCGGGAAGGAUGCUAGAGAAAAUUGGAGCUCUCAGGGAAGAAGAGGGGAACUGAGAGAUUCUCUCAAGCAAUGUGAAACCUAUGAAGGAGGAGAACGUGUUUAAAUAGACCCCGGGAUCCGACGCACUUAUGAUUUCGGAUCCCCGUUGGCCGGUCUGUAUUCACCGCGUGUCCCACCCACCUUGACAGGCUGUUGGAAAUGGCAGGCGGCUGGCAAAGUCAUUAUUACGCCA